rnacentral:misc_RNA from 1 species
UACAGAGGGUGCAAGCGUUAAUCGGAAUUAUUGGGCGUAAAGGGCGCGUAGGUGGAUGAGUAUGUUGGAUGUGAAAGCCCUGGGCUUAACCUAGGAAUGCCAUUCAAAACUGCUUGUCUAGAGUGCAGUAGAGGGAAGCGGAAUUUCCGGUGUAGCGGUGAAAUGCGUAGAUAUCGGAAGGAACACCAGUAGCGAAGGCGGCUUCCUGGACUGUAACUGACACUGAGGCGCGAAAGCGUGGGGAGCAAACAGG